rnacentral:tRNA from 1 species
GGGGAUGUAACUCAGUGGUAGAGUGUGCACUUAGUAUGUAUAAGGCCCUGGGUUUGAUUCCCAGCUUCCCAG